CUGAAAUGACUUAAAUACCUUUUAUAUUAGAUGUUUUAAAAAUUACAGAUUCACCCCAAAAUUCUAGCACCAGAAUGAAGUUUUCAAAAAUUUGAACUAAGUCCUUCCAACUUUCAAAAAGGCCAUCUUUCCAAACCAACUCUAAGAAAAUAGAGCCUUAAGUCUCUUUUUUUCAUGUAAAAUAUUGAAAGAAAAAACUUCGAUUUUGACCUAUUCUCGAUAGCCCAAAACUUGGAAUUCACCAUUCUUGAUAACCCAAAGCUCACUGCUGAUGGAAAAGAAGAUGACCCCCUGGGGCAGCGGCGGAAGCUAGGAAGAAGAUGAAUGUAAUGUUUGUUGUUUCUUUAAGGAAAAAUUUGACAGAAUUUAUUGGGUUUGGUGGUGUCUGGUGUUUUUUUUUGGCAUAAUUUGUUAGAUUUAGUGGUGUAUGGUGU
rnacentral:lncRNA from 1 species